AUUGAACGCUGGCGGCAUGCCUAACACAUGCAAGUCGAGCGGAGCGGCGUACGGGGGAGUAAUGCCUGGGAAUCUGCCCGUUGGUGAGGUAUACCUUACAGGAACGGGCGCUAAGACCGCAUACUAGCAGGUGAGCUUAGGUCGGAUUAGCUAGUUGGUGGGGUAAAGGCCUACCAAGGCGACGAGCCGUAACCGGUCUGAGAGGAGGAUCAGUCACACGGGAACUGAGACACGGCCCAGACUCCUACGGGAGGCAGCAGUGGGGAAUCUUGGACAAUGGGCGAAAGCCUGAUCCAGCCAUGCCGCGUGUGUGAAGAAGGUUUUCGGAUUGUAAAGCACUUUAAGUUGGGAGGCGUUACCAACAGAAUAAGCACCGGCUAACUUCGUGCCAGCAGCCGCGGUAAUUC
rnacentral:rRNA from 1 species